rnacentral:rRNA from 1 species
GAUCAGGGGGAUAGCCCGAAGAAAUUCGGAUUAACACCGCAUAAAAACACAGUACAGCAUUGUACAAUGUUCAAAUAUUAAUAGGAUCAGGAUGGGCAUGCGUGACAUUAGUUAGUUGGCGGGGUAACGGCCCACCAAGACCACGAUGUCUAGGGGAUCUGAGAGGAUGACCCCCCACACUGGUACUGAGACACGGACCAGACUCCUACGGGAGGCAGCAGUAAGGAAUAUUGGUCAAUGGGGGCAACCCUGAACCAGCCAUGCCGCGUGCAGGAAGACCGCCCUCUGGGUCGUAAACUGCUUUUAUUCGGGAAUAAACCUUUCUACGUGUAGGAAGCUGAAUGUACCGAAGGAAUAAGGAUCGGCUAACUCCGUGCCAGCAGCCGCGGUAAUACGGAGGAUCCAAGCGUUAUCCGGAUUUAUUGGGUUUAAAGGGUGCGUAGGCGGCUAUUUAAGUCAGGGGUGAAAGACGUUAGCUCAACUAACGCAGUGCCCUUGAUACUGAAGAGCUUGAAUGGACUAGAGGUAGGCGGAAUGUGACAAGUAGCGGUGAAAUGCAUAGAUAUGUCACAGAACACCGAUUGCGAAGGCAGCUUACUAUGGUUUAAUUGACGCUGAGGCACGAAAGCGUGGGGAUCAAAC